rnacentral:rRNA from 1 species
AUUGAACGCUGGCGGCAGGCCUAACGCAUGCAAGUCGAACGGUAACAGGAAACAGCUUGCUGUUUCGCUGACGAGUGGCGGACGGGUGAGUAAUGUCUGGGAAACUGCCUGAUGGAGGGGGAUAACUACUGGAAACGGUAGCUAAUACCGCAUAACGUCGCAAGACCAAAGAGGGGGACCUUCGGGCCUCUUGCCAUCGGAUGUGCCCAGAUGGGAUUAGCUAGUAGGUGGGGUAACGGCUCACCUAGGCGACGAUCCCUAGCUGGUCUGAGAGGAUGACCAGCCACACUGGAAAUGAGACACGGUCCAGACUCCUACGGGAGGCAGCAGUGGGGAAUAUUGCACAAUGGGCGCAAGCCUGAUGCAGCCAUGCCGCGUGUAUGAAGAAGGCCUUCGGGUUGUAAAGUACUUUCAGCGGGGAGGAAGGGAGUAAAGUUAAUACCUUUGCUCAUUGACGUUACCCGCAGAAGAAGCACCGGCUAACUCCGUGCCAGCAGCCGCGGUAA